UACGUAGGGUGCAAGCGUUUAAUCGGAAUUACUGGGCGUAAAGCGUGCGCAGGCGGUUUGCUAAGACCGAUGUGAAAUCCCCGGGCUUAACCUGGGAACUGCAUUGGUGACUGGCAGGCUAGAGUAUGGCAGAGGGGGGUAGAAUUCCACGUGUAGCAGUGAAAUGCGUAGAGAUGUGGAGGAAUACCGAUGGCGAAGGCAGCCCCCUGGGCCAAUACUGACGCUCAUGCACGAAAGCGUGGGGAGCAAACAGG
rnacentral:rRNA from 1 species